AGCCUGUGGUUCCCUUCCAGAAAGCAGGCGUGUGAUGUCAUUUGGAGGAAGAGAAAUGACAGCAGAUGCGACUGCUGAUUAGUGGAAGCUAGAAGCGUGGAGCCGCUCAGGCAGGAAGCGGAGAGGCUACCGAAACAAAAAGCAGAAGCAUCUGCCGUCGACACGGAAAGUCUAAGGCACAAAGAAACCCACCAGCAGAGCCCCUCGCCGGGAGCUGGGGAAUCUGUACAGCUGUGUCAAAGGCAGAGUGCGGAUCCGAGAGUUCACCUGUUUACACGCUUCCACUUGGGAUCUUAACCACCCUGAGCUUUGCACAACCCAGCCCGAGUCAGGCGACGCAGAAGAAAGGUCAUCAGAACCCCCCAGGCACAUCUGGGGAGCCCUGCCCGACCCAGGAACAAGCGGGAGAUGACUUCCAGAAAGACGGGGCAGAGUCCACAUCUGCCAAGGACGGGAACCUCAGCCCUUCUUUCUUAUUCCCUUAGCUCCAAAGCCACUGAUGUAAAAACCCAGUCCUCUGUGCCUCAGCAGGGUCACUGUCAGCUCUUACUGCUGCUAUGAAGUCACAGAACAGAACUGUGCCAGGAGGGCCAGACACCUGUCUGCGGGGACACCCGGUGACGAGAGCAUCUCCCUGACAAGAGCAACCAGACACCAUUCAGCAGGCAACGCUUCACACGCUGACGCAGGAAGCACAGGUCCUGCCCGUGUCAACUCGCUCACCGGGGGCCAAGACGCUCUCGCAGCGCAGACGUGUGGAUCUGGGCAGAGCGGAGAGGCGCCGGGGAGGACAAGACCCAGGGACGCAGAUGCCAGAACCCCGGGCCCCAGCGGCCUCUUCCCACAGGCCCUUCCUCGACGGUCGCGCCCGCACCGCCUACUUGGUUCAGGGGUCUCUCCCACGGUACCAGCAGCCACGCCGCACUGUGAGGCGCCUGUGGUUUUCUCCUCCCCAGGGGCUCCUCUGGGACAGGGACCCUUGUGUGCUGUGGAACCUGUAAGUCUCUCUACCACAGUGCCUGGCUCACGGCACCCGUGUAAAUGUCUGCUUUAGACCCUACUAGGCCUCUUUUAUCCAAACACCAAGUGCCCUGAUACAUUUUACAGAAUGUGAAAUAGCAACUUACUAACACUAAAAGGGGCACAGGGAAAACAGCUAUGAAACCACAUUUGAUUCAGGCCGUGGCUCUGCUAAUUAGUUAAUUAGUCUGUUCUCAGGGCCUCAGUUUCCCCAUCUAUCAAAUGAAAGGAGGGUCCACAUUUCCUAAGUUCCUUCAGUCUGUUAUUCCACAAGAUUCUUCAUGUUACAUCUCCUAAAGAAGGGAAUAAUUUUCCAAAGUAAAUCCCACUGAAUUGUCCCACGAGGUUCAUGCAGUGUGACAUUUCAACCUCUACGUUACCUGAAUUACCACUAAUUACCACCCCUCAGAGCACGGUCAGGGAGGGGCCCUGACUGGAGGAGUCUGGACAGAGGCGACCACCACACAAGAGGCUACUGGGGGCAAGUCCAGAGGUGGAUGGGUCAGAGUUAGAACCGGUCUGCAGUCAUGGUCGGGGAGUGGGGAGGAGGCUGUAUUCUAGGCCUUUCACUCCUAGGCCUGCCUCUGGCCCCCAUCUAGCUAACUUCUAUGACUCUACCACAUGGGACAUUCUCUGGCCACCUUUCUGAUGUUACCAGACCAGAAGAGACGAUGGCAGCAGGAAAGGAGGCUCCCCUGGGGAAGGCUCACACAGGCAUCAACAAGAGGAACAACCUGGAAGGUUUCAACUCCGUCAAAACUGUAUUCUUGCCUCUGCUGUGUUCCUUCUCCGGGAGCAGACUGCGAGGGAGUGACCUCGAUGCCACGCUCCUUGUCAUUUCUACGGUCUGCGAGCAUCUCCAUGUAAGCAGGGGAAGCUGCCCCAGUCAGCAGUGGAAGAGAGGUUACGGACCCCUGAACGGGAAUGCCGGGAUUUCUCAGCAAUGUCCCGUUCUGGGCAUAAAGAGGUCACUGCAGAAAGACCCUUGGGGAAUGACUCAUUCUAAUCAGUAAAAGAAAACACUCUGAGGAUGUUUCACUAAAGAACCGGAAACCACUGGCCCUUGUUAAUUUGUCCAGUUCUCUAAGACUUGAAAAUAACCAAUUUUGAUAAAGAAGUUGCUGUUUUACUACAGAGAAAAAGCAGAAUCACGAAGAGAAAUCCACCUAACUCCCGAGAUGCCAACGUGGCUAUGCCCUUCUUCCCAUCAUGCAAUGCAAUUCCUAGGAUCUAGACCCCAGGGAAGCUUGGCUCAAGACUUUACGCCUCUCCAGCCAACAGUCUUCCAGGAAGGGCCAAAGAGGCAACAGAGCAGGUGGAGCCUAGAUGACUUACGACAUUUCAGUUAGAUCAAGCAAUUGCCAGAAAUCAAAGAGCCACUGGCUGAGGACAUUCUGAUGCUCCUUCUCCCUCCAAACAGAGAAGAUUCUAGCGAUGACACACUGGGCUCCACGAAAUAAUUUGUUUCCAGAAGAAACAGACUCCUCGGGUGACUUAAUGCUAAAGUUUACAAGUUAAACCAAAGAGGUUCAAUCCAGGAAAGUCCCAUCCCAUUAUAAACACUGUUAGCAUAAAACUAGUAGCCAA